rnacentral:rRNA from 1 species
AACGAACGCUGGCGGAAGGAAGAACACAGGCAAGUCGAACGAGACCUUCGGGUCUAGUGGCGCACGGGUGCGUAACGCGUGGGAAUCUGCCCUUGGGUUCGGAAUAACAGUUGGAAACGACUGCUAAUACCGGAUGAUGACGUAAGUCCAAAGAUUUAUCGCCCAAGGAUGAGCCCGCGUAGGAUUAGCUAGUUGGUGAGGUAAAGGCUCACCAAGGCGACGAUCCUUAGCUGGUCUGAGAGGAUGAUCAGCCACACUGGGACUGAGACACGGCCCAGACUCCUACGGGAGGCAGCAGUGGGGAAUAUUGGACAAUGGGCGAAAGCCUGAUCCAGCAAUGCCGCGUGAGUGAUGCAGGCCUUAGGGUUGUAAAGCUCUUUUACCCGGGAUGAUAAUGACAGUACCGGGAGAAUAAGCUCCGGCUCCCUCCGUC